UGCAGUUUCAUUUCUAUUCCUCGCGUGUAUGAAAUUAUGUGCGAUGAAGGAUUACAAGAAUGGCACCUAGGAUCACCCUGGACACGCUUCUCCGUAUUCCUGCAAGUAAUCCUCAUCAGCUCCGCCCAAGCCAUGGAAGUAUUUACACUUCUCUGGGGAAGUUCCCAGCUAAAUUGCAGGUCGCGGAGAGUUGUAAGCUAUGGAAAAAAUGAAAAUUCAUUUGACCACCCUCUCUCAUCAAGACCAAAAAAAAAAAAAAAAAAAAAAAAAAAAA
rnacentral:sRNA from 1 species